rnacentral:rRNA from 1 species
GACGAACGCUGGCGGCGUGCUUAACACAUGCAAGUCGAACGGAAAGGCCCCUUUGGGGGUACUCGAGUGGCGAACGGGUGAGUAACACGUGAGUAACCUGCCCUUGACUUCGGGAUAACUUCAGGAAACUGGGGCUAAUACCGGAUAGGAAUCCUUGCUGCAUGGUGGGGGUUGGAAAGCUUCGGCGGUUUUGGAUGGACUCGCGGCUUAUCAGCUUGUUGGUGGGGUAGUGGCUUACCAAGGCUUUGACGGGUAGCCGGCCUGAGAGGGCGACCGGCCACAUUGGGACUGAGAGACGGCCCAGACUCCUACGGGAGGCAGCAGUGGGGAAUAUUGCACCAUGGGCGGCAGCCUGAUGCAGCAACGCCGCGUGCGGGAUGACGGCCUUCGGGUUGUAAACCGCUUUCAGCAGGGGCGAAGCUUGUGGUGACGGUACCUGCAGAAGAAGCACCGGCUAACUACGUG